UAGCAUAUCAAUAAGCGGAGGAAAAGAAACCAACAGGGAUUGCCCUAGUAACGGCGAGUGAAGCGGCAACAGCUCAAAUUUGAAAUCUGGCUCUUUUAGAGUCCGAGUUGUAAUUUGCAGAGGGCGCUUUGGCUUUGGCAGCGGUCCAAGUUCCUUGGAACAGGACGUCACAGAGGGUGAGAAUCCCGUACGUGGUCGCUGGCUAUUGCCGUGUAAAGCCCCUUCGACGAGUCGAGUUGUUUGGGAAUGCAGCUCUAAAUGGGAGGUACAUUUCUUCUAAAGCUAAAUAUUGGCCAGAGACCGAUAGCGCACAAGUAGAGUGAUCGAAAGAUGAAAAGCACUUUGGAAAGAGAGUCAAACAGCACGUGAAAUUGUUGAAAGGGAAGCGCUUGCAGCCAGACUUGCUUACAGUUGCUCAUCCGGGUUUUUACCCGGUGCACUCUUCUGUAGGCAGGCCAGCAUCAGUUUGGGCGGUAGGAUAAAGGUCUCUGUCACGUACCUCCUUUCGGGGAGGCCUUAUAGGGGAGACGACAUACUACCAGCCUGGACUGAGGUCCGCGCAUCUGCUAGGAUGCUGGCGUAAUGGCUGUAAGCGGCCCGUCUUGAAACACGGACCAAGGAGUCUAACAUCUAUGCGAGUGUUUGGGUGUCAAGCCCGAGCGCGUAAUGAAAGUGAACGGAGGUGGGAACCCGCAAGGGUGCACCAUCGACCGAUCCUGAUGUCUUCGGAAGGAUUUGAGUAAGAGCAUGGCUGUUGGGACCCGAAAGAUGGUGAACUAUGCUUGAAUAGGGUGAAGCCAGAGGAAACUCUGGUGGAGGCUCGCAGCGGUUCUGACGUGCAAAUCGAUCGUCAAAUUUGGGCAUAGGGGCGAAAGACUAAUCGAACUAUCUAGUAGCUGGUUCCUGCCGAU
rnacentral:rRNA from 1 species